CUACGGGCCGCUGCAGUGGGGAAUAUUGCGCAAUGGAGGGAACUCUGAUGCAGCAACGCCGCGUGGAGGAUGACGCAUUUCGGUGUGUAAACUCCUUUUAUAUAGGAAGAUAAUGACGGUACUAUAUGAAUAAGCACCGGCUAACUCCGUGCCAGCAGCCGCGGUAAUACGGAGGGUGCAAGCGUUACUCGGAAUCACUGGGCGUAAAGCGCAUGCAGGCGGUUAAAUAAGUUGGAAGUGAAAUCCUAUGGCUCAACCAUAGAACUGCUUCCAAAACUGUUUAACUAGAGUCUGGGAGGGGAAGAUGGAAUUAGUAGUGUAGGGGUAAAAUCCGUAGAGAUUACUAGGAAUACCAAAAGCGAAGGCGAUCUUCUGGAACAGUACUGACGCUGAGAUGCGAAAGCGUGGGGAGCAAACAGGAUUAGAUACCCGCGUAGUC
rnacentral:rRNA from 1 species